CAAAUUCCUUCUGCUUUUUUUUUUUCUAGCAAGAACACGCCCAAAUCCAACCGUCCAAGACGAAACCCAAAAAACCAGUAAAUGUCAACAACGACAGCAACUCCAAACGGCGUGAGCAGUACUCCCUCACGUCCCAUUUCCCCUCCUUUUGCGGAAGUCACAACUUUUCACAUCAUUCGAAUUUCAAAUUCGAAAAUUUCACUCAUUUCACCCUCUAUAUAAACUACCCCUACCCAUCGUUGAAGGAAGGGGCGAGCAUAGGGAGUUUUUGGAUCGGAAAUUGGACUUUUUUUAUGGAUUAAUUUGCCACUUUUGAAGAAACAGAGAAUUUUCAUUAAGAAAUAGGAAUGUCGAAUAGCUAAAAUAGCACUUUAGGUUUAAGAUUUUUCUCGAGGAAAACGUCCUUUCUUUUUUUACUCCCGAGCAGUUCACCGGAACUCAUCUCGUGUGGUGUGGAAGUUGCUUCAUAGUCAAGCUCGUUGAUUCCAAUCGCUGAAAAAGGUUGAAAACAGAUAAGGAGGUAUGGGAGUACAAAAAUGGAUUAUAUAUCUUUGUAUACACUAAUCUGCACCUACUGGAUGUUGGUCUUGGUACACAAGAAUAUACAAAAAUAUAGACUCGCUUUAUACACUAUAUAAAUGCAGGGAAAUUGGGCUAAAACCCCAUAUAUAUGUGCAGAUUUUUGGUAGUUUUAGGAUAGGUUGGGCUAAGGCCCAAAAAUCUAA